CCAGUCUCACUCGGUUCAUCGCUCAUGCGUCUCUCGCCAAAGCUCUCUCUGCGCAGGAAGAAGCAGCAGAGAAGCUGAAGAGAGUUUGCGGCGUGUCUGGACGACGUAUUCGAGACGUCUUCUGUCCGUAUCUGGGAUCCUCUGCGGCUCCGUAACGCCUCAGACGUGUUAAAGCUGCACUAGUGCUGCAGAUGUUUAAUAAACGUAACCUCAAGCUUG